CGGGUGGCGGACAGUGGCAGACGGGUGAGUAACGCGUGGGAACGUGCCUUUCGGUUCGGGAUAACCCAGGGAAACUUGGGCUAAUACCGGAUACGCCCUUCGGGGGAAAGAUUCAUUGCCGAAAGAUCGGCCCGCGUCGGAUUAGCUAGUUGGUAGGGUAAAAGCCUACCAAGGCGACGAUCCGUAGCUGGUCUGAGAGGAUGACCAGCCACACUGGGACUGAGACACGGCCCAGACUCCUACGGGAGGCAGCAGUGGGGAAUAUUGGACAAUGGGCGCAAGCCUGAUCCAGCCAUGCCGCGUGGGUGAAGAAGGCCUUAGGGUUGUAAACCCCUUUCAGCGGGGAAGAUAAUGACGGUACCCGCAGAAGAAGUCCCGGCUAACUCCGUGCCAGCAGCCGCGGUAAUACGGAGGGGACUAGCGUUGUUCGGAAUUACUGGGCGUAAAGCGCACGUAGGCGGAUUUGUAAGUCAGGGGUGAAAUCCCGAGGCUCAACCUCGGAACUGCCUUUGAUACUGCAAAUCUCGAGUCCGGAAGAGGUGAGUGGAAUUCCUAGUGUAGAGGUGAAAUUCGUAGAUAUUAGGAAGAACACCAGUGGCGAA
rnacentral:rRNA from 1 species